UAUUACAGGAUUACCAGGAUCUUGAAUGUAUUCUAUAGCCAGGCUUACAUGGUUGUCAUCGAGUUCCUGCUUCAUUUUCCCCCCAGCCCCGAACACAGUCUUCCAGCCCUAAUGGACGGAGUGAUUCUGUUGAGCGGUGCCAAACAGGCUACUCUUCAGACUCCUUUGAGCCUUGUUGGGGAAUUUCAACCAAAUAAAGUUGUUUUCCUUUUA